AUUGAACGCUGGCGGCAGGCCUAACACAUGCAAGUCGAGCGAGCGGCGGACGGGUGAGGAAUGGCUGGGAACCCGCUUGCUGGAGGGGACUAACUACUGGAAACGGUAGCAAAUAACGCACACCAUCAGGUGUGCCCAGAUGGGAUUAGCUAGUGGGUGGGGUAAUGGCUCACCCAGGCGACGAUCCCUAGCUGGUCUGAGAGGAUGACCAGCCACACUGGAACUGAGACACGGUCCAGACUCCUACGGGAGGCAGCAGUGGGGAAUAUUGGACAAUGGGCGCAAGCCUGAUGCAGCCAUGCCGCGUGUGUGAAGAAGGCCUUCGGGUUGUAAAGCACUUUCAGCAGGGAGGCGUUACCCGCAGAAUAAGCACCGGCUAACUCCGUGCCAGCAGCCGCGGUAAUAC
rnacentral:rRNA from 1 species